GAUGAACGCUAGCUACAGGCUUAACACAUGCAAGUCGAGGGGCAGCAUGACGAUUGCUUGCAAUCGUUGAUGGCGACCGGCGCACGGGUGCGUAACGCGUAUCCAACCUUCCCCGUACCCGGGCACAGCCCGGCGAAAGUCGGAUUAAUUCCCGAUGCACUCCUUGGCGGGCAUCUAACAAGGAGUAAAGGUUAUCUGGUACUUGUAUGGGGAUGCGUAGGAUUAGCUGGUAGGCGGGGUAACGGCCCACCUAGGCGACGAUCCUUAGGGGUUCUGAGAGGAAGGUCCCCCACACUGGUACUGAGACACGGACCAGACUCCUACGGGAGGCAGCAGUGAGGAAUAUUGGUCAAUGGGCGCGAGCCUGAACCAGCCAAGUAGCGUGCAGGAUGACGGCCCUACGGGUUGUAAACUGCUUUUAUGCGGGGAUAAAGGUCACUACGUGUAGUUGUUUUGCAGGUACCGCAUGAAUAAAGACCGGCCUAUUCCCGUGCCAGCAGCCGCGGUAAUACGACGUCCGGCGUUAUCCGGAUUUAUUUGGGAUUUAAAUGGAGCGCAAGCCGCUUUUAAGCGUGACUGGAUGUAUAACGCCAACCGAAUGAAAUUGCUUCGCACAUGAAGGCCUUGACUGGCGCCGUCUCAUAUCGCAGU
rnacentral:rRNA from 1 species